rnacentral:rRNA from 1 species
GAUAAACGCUGGCGGCGUGCCUAACACAUGCAAGUCGAACGAUCCCGCAAGGGAGAGUGGCGGAAGGGUGAGUAACACGUGGGAAUCUACCUCCUCGCAGGGAACAACCUCUCGAAAGAGAGGCUAAUACCCAAAAGGGUCAGAAAUGAUCAGAGUCGAAAGGCGUGAGGAGAGGAGCCCGCGGCCCAUCAGCUAGUUGGUGAGGUAAUGGCUUACCAAGGCUACGACGGGUAGGGGAUCUGAGAGGAUGUCCCCCACACUGGAACUGAAACACGGUCCAGACGCCUACGGGUGGCAGCAGUGAGGAAUAUUGGACAAUGGGCGAAAGCCCGAUCCAGCAACGCCGCGUGGAGGAUGAAGGCCUUCGGGUCGUAAACUUCUUUAGAGGGAGACGAGAAAGGACGGUAUCCCUAGAAUAAGCGACGGCAAACUACGUAGCCAGCAGCCGCGGUAAUCUGAGUCGGAG